UUUCCUGGUUCUAAAACCCUCGCUCUCUUUGGAACCCUAGACUCGUCCUCUCUUCCUCGCAUAAGAUUUUCUUUCGAAACGACCCUCUCCACUCCUCUCGAUCUCUCCUCUUCCUUCCCGCUCGUCGAUCCUUUACAAUGGCGGAUCACCAGAACGGGAAUCCACCUGUGGAUCCACCGGAGAACAACGACGAGGAGCCGAUGAUAGGACCCGGCCCCGCCCUUCGCCCGCGCCCCAAGCGCCCUCUCCAGUUCGAGCAGGCCUUCCUCGAUGCCCUCCCCUGUGCUCACAUGUAUGAGAAGAGUUACAUGCAUCGAGAUGUGGUCACUCAUGUUGCUGUGUCGGCCGCAGACUUCUUCAUUACUGGAAGCAUCGAUGGGCAUCUGAAAUUUUGGAAGAAGAAGGCUAUUGGGAUUGAAUUUGCUAAACAUUUCAGAUCUCAUCUUGGUCCCAUUGAAGGCCUGGCUGUUAGUAUUGAUGGUUUAUUUUGCUGUACAAUUUCUAAUGAUCGGUCGGUGAAGAUUUAUGAUGUUGUAAACUUUGAUAUGAUGGUGAUGAUGCGCCUUCCAUUUAUUCCUGGUGCGGCUGAAUGGGCUUAUAGACAAGGAGAUGUCAAAGCUAAGCUUGCAAUUAGCGACAGAAAUUCCUCUUUUGUUCACAUAUAUGAUGCACAUGCUGAUUCAAAUGAACCAAUUAUCUCGAGAGAGAUUCACAUGGGGCCAGUAAAAGUUAUGAAGUACAACCACAUAUAUGAUAUUAUGAUAUCAGCUGAUGCCAAAGGGGUCCUAGAAUAUUGGUCUCCCACUACACUCAAGUUUCCAGAGAAUAGUGUGAAUUUCAAGUUAAAAACGGACACCAAUCUUUUUGAAAUUGCCAAGUGCAAGACCACCGUCUCUGCGAUUGAGGUGAGCCCAGAUGGCAAUCAAUUUGCUAUAACAUCUCCUGAUCGCAGGAUACGUGUCUUUUGGUUCAAAACGGGUAAAAUGAGGCUUGUGUAUGAUGAAUCUCUUGAGGUGGCCCAAGAUUUACAAAGAAGUGGUGCUCCUUUAUAUCAGCUAGAAGCGAUUGACUUUGGGCGAAGAAUGGCUGUUGAGAAGGAAAUAGAGAAAACAGAAAAUGCUCCACAACCAAAUGCUAUUUUUGAUGAGAGCUCUAACUUUCUUAUUUAUGCAACCCUUCUGGGUAUAAAAAUAGUAAAUUUGCACACAAAUAAAGUUGCCCGAAUUCUUGGAAAAGUGGAGAAUAAUGACAGGUUUUUAAGAAUUGCUUUAUAUCAAGGUGACAAGAGUAACAAAAAAGUUCGGAAGAUUCCUGCAGCUGCAGCAAAUGUCAAUGAAACCAAAGAACCUUUGACAGAUCCUACACUUCUGUGUUGUGCUUUCAAAAAACAUCGAAUCUAUUUGUUCAGCCGAAGAGAGCCUGAAGAACCUGAAGAUGCAACCAAAGGAAGGGAUGUUUUUAAUGAAAAGCCGCCACCUGAGGAGCUUUUAGCAGUAUCUGAUAUAGGAAACGCUGUCACAACAUCCCUUCCUGAUAGCGUGGUUUUGCACACAUCUCUUGGUGAUAUUCACAUGAGACUGUACCCAGAAGAAUGCCCGAAAACUGUGGAGAACUUUACAACUCAUUGUAGAAAUGGAUAUUAUGACAAUCUCAUCUUCCACCGUGUAAUUAAGGGAUUCAUGAUACAGACAGGAGAUCCUUUGGGAGAUGGCACUGGUGGGCAGUCUAUAUGGGGAUGGGAAUUUGAAGAUGAGUUUCACAAAAGCUUGAGGCAUGACAGACCUUUCACAGUAUCAAUGGCAAAUGCUGGACCAAAUACAAAUGGUUCUCAGUUUUUUAUUACCACUGUGGCCACACCAUGGCUUGACAAUAAGCAUACUGUUUUUGGCAGAGUUGUAAAGGGGAUGGAUGUUGUUCAGGGAAUAGAGAAGGUCAAGACAGAUAAGAAUGACAAGCCAUAUCAGGAUGUCAAGAUCUUAAAUGUUACUGUUCCCAAUUCCUAGACUUCAUGCUCUUUCCCAUUGACUGAUGGGGAAAUACUAUUGCUCUGGCAGGUGGCUAUGGGUCCAUCAAAAUAAAUGGGUUAGGAGACAUUUUGAGCCCCACUGAGCUUUUGCUAAUUGUAGUAGUCUGCUUGCAACAUGGAGGAGGAUUAUGAAACCGGCUGUGAUUUUAUGACAUGAAUCUAUCAGCGCCACCCUCAGUAUUUUGCGGUAAUAUCUGAUGAAUUCUGUCCGGUGGUGGAUACAUAUAUGAUGCAGAAUUCGGCUGAUAUGAUAUUAAUUACUGGAGAAGUGUGAGGACCUGGGCAUUCAGUUGGCAUUUUACGAGGCAUUUGUUGUUUUUAUUAGGGUAUUUAUCUCUCCUGCUGCAUUGUUUCUAUGUGUGUUUUCAAUCCUGCAGCUAUCUUCUCAAAUCCACAUCUGACACUAGCAAAUAGCACAUCAUUCUGGUGGUAAUGUGGAAGGUUCUGCUUGAAGGAUGAAAUCUUACAAAUAAACAUGAAAAACAUCUUCUAUGACAAGCAAUUAAAUAUAAUUAUUUGUAUGACAGUGAAGAUUUAUCUUUAAAAAAAUGUUGUGCAGGGACUUGUGAGGACAAAUUUCUGUUAAAAUAAAAUAUUAUAAUUUUUUAUGCUCAGAAAAAAAAA